rnacentral:misc_RNA from 1 species
AAGUCGUAACAAGGUUUCCGUAGGUGAACCUGCGGAAGGAUCAUUAUUGAAUAAACCUGGCGUGGUUGUAGCUGGUCCUCUCGGGGACAUGUGCUCGCCCGUCAUCUUUAUAUCUCCACCUGUGCACCCUUUGUAGACCUGGACGAUAACUUUCCGAGGCAACUCGGUCGGGAGGACUGCUGGCUUUCACGAGUCGGCUUUCCUUGUAUUAUCCAGGCCUAUGUCUUUACACAUACCCCAAAGAAUGUAACAGAAUGUAUUGUAUAUGGCCUAGUGCCUAUAAACUAUAUACAACUUUCAGCAACGGAUCUCUUGGCUCUC